GCCACCGUGGCAUAGUGGUUUGAGUGUUGGAUUAUGACUCUAGAGAUCAGGGUUCGAAUCCCUGCUGAACCA